AGAGUUUGAUCCUGGCUCAGGACGAACGCUGGCGGCGUGCCUAAUACAUGCAAGUCGAACGGUCUUUUCUAUGGAAGCUUGCUUCCACUGAGAAGAUAGUGGCGAACGGGUGAGUAACACGUGGGUAACCUGCCCAUAAGAGGGGGAUAACAUCCGGAAACGGGUGCUAAUACCGCAUAGUUUUCUUGAUCGCAUGAUCGGGAAAGGAAAGACGGCCUUUGUGCUGUCGCUUAUGGAUGGACCCGCGGCGUAUUAGUUAGUUGGUGAGGUAACGGCUCACCAAGACGAUGAUACGUAGCCGACCUGAGAGGGUGAUCGGCCACAUUGGGACUGAGACACGGCCCAAACUCCUACGGGAGGCAGCAGUAGGGAAUCUUCCGCAAUGGACGAAAGUCUGACGGAGCAACGCCGCGUGAGUAAAGAAGGUUUUCGGAUCGUAAAACUCUGUUGUCAGAGAAGAACAAGUUGGAGAGUAACUGCUCCAGCCUUGACGGUAUCUGACCAGAAAGCCACGGCUAACUACGUGCCAGCAGCCGCGGUAAUACGUAGGUGGCAAGCGUUGUCCGGAUUUAUUGGGCGUAAAGCGAGCGCAGGCGGUUCCUUAAGUCUGAUGUGAAAGCCCACGGCUCAACCGUGGAAGGUCAUUGGAAACUGGGGAACUUGAGUGCAGAAGAGGAGAGUGGAAUUCCAUGUGUAGCGGUGAAAUGCGUAGAUAUAUGGAGGAACACCAGUGGCGAAGGCGACUCUCUGGUCUGUAACUGACGCUGAGGCUCGAAAGCGUGGGGAGCAAACAGGAUUAGAUACCCUGGUAGUCCACGCCGUAAACGAUGAGUGCUAA
rnacentral:rRNA from 1 species